AAGUAUACGUGAAAUGUUUCGAAUUGGGAGGAGAUUUCCAAUUUCAAUUGACAAAAAUCCACGAGGUAAAACAUUUUUCAACUGUAUUGAAUUAUUUCCUUGUUUGUUUAUUACACGGUGGAAUUUCGAUUUCGUUGUUUGAUUAGAUAGUUGGAAUUUCAUUUUAUAUUUAUAUUUUAUACGUUAUAUUUAUUACAAUUUAUUCAUUUUUAGUUUCAGUAGUGUAUUGUAUCGUAAGGAAACGAAGCCUGUCUACGGUGAUAAGUGAACAAGAGUAAUAAUAUUUCAUUUCGUAUCGUAGGACAUAAAUAUGGUAAUAAAUUUAACGAGAAUACUGCUGGUGUAUUCUUGGAAAAUUACGAAUGAAAAAAUAUUUAUAUUUUACGACUUCCUGAGUGACCCUGGUAAAAGAGAAAUGAUUAAGGCCAGAAAACUGUCUGUGGUCAACAAGGUGAAAUGCGUAUUUCAAUUUGGCUUUAUCAUAAUUUAAAAAUAUUUAUGUUAAAUAACAAGAGAACAAAAUAGAGAUAAUAAUGAUUUAAAGAUUAUCACGUACGCUUAUGCAUUUAAAUGUGUAUUAUACUUGGCAAAAUGUUUCUAUUUUCUUUAUUUACCAACAGAGUAUUAUAUUCUUCUUAAUAUCAUUUUCAUAUUAAAAAAUAUCUAUUGUUAGUUACAGUGUUAUUUAAACUUGUCAUAUGAUCCACAUGUUUCACAAGAUUUGUCACGAUGUCAAAACGAUGAAAAAAUAAUCAUGAGAAGCAAAUUGCAAUGACAACAGUUUAAAUGCUACAUAUUUUUACUGCGUUGAUUAGAAUUAUAAUUAACAUUACAAAUCUGUUUACUUUUUAUUUUCAGCAUUGCUUCAUUCUGUAUAUUGUAUUUUCGUUGACAUGUUUAUAAUGACGUUAAAAAGUGAUGAAAUAUCCAUUCGUUAUUAAAAUUCGGUAUAUUGACUAUAAAAUGAUUAAAAAAAAAAAAAGAAAAAAAAAACGGAAUAAAUAAAGCGAAAUAAAAACUGGCGAUGAUGGCUUUUAAUGGUCCAUCGUUUGAACGAGAAUGGAUGGUGAAAUGGAAAUGAUCUGCGUUCUCAUUCAUCCACGACAGAUAUAUGUAUACGUAUAUCAAACGGUGUUAAAAAAGAUAGUCGAGAAAUGUUGGCUACUAUCCAUCAUGUUAUCAGAAAAUGUGGAAAUUCCUCGAUGAGAUAAUAAUGCUUUCACAUAUACAGCCAUGUCAAUGGAAAAGUAAUUCUCUUGAUCUUAUUUUUCAUCAAGAACCUGCAUAUCGAUUUGGCUAAUUUGCAGUGAUUAAUUGCUAGGAAGACAUUUUAACUGUCUCAAAGCGUACUAAGAUAUAAAUAUCGAAUUAAAUAAAUAAAUUUCCAAUAUUUAAUAAAACGUAUGCGACAUAGAAAAAAAGAACACUUGAAAGGAAAAUGAAAUCGCACGGAUUCGAAUGAAUAUUCAUGAUCAAUGAAAUACUGGAUUUUUCGCGCUGAAAAAAUGGCAAAACGUUUAGAAAUUGUGGUAUACGUAGGUAUACGUGUAUUUUGAGAAACGUUUGGUAGGCGGUUUGGUGACGAUAAAUAAGAAAAGGUGUGCAUAAUUUUAUAAAAUAAUAUUUCAUUCGUUUGCAACAUCGCGACAAAACAUGCAGCGAUAAUUCGUGGCCACGAAUAUUUAUACAUCUUAUAAAAGAUUACCACAGGACAGAUUUUUGGCAUCGAUUUAAUUUCGUUGCUUUUUUACAAAUAAUUGCUGAGUAAUACGUAUGCGUACAUCUGUUCAACGCGAAGAUUAAAUUCUCAAAGCUCCUAAAAAUCCUUGCACCCGUAAUAAAACUUUAGCCAAAAUGAAAUUUAUAAAAUGUGGCACAAUACUGAUUCAACUAAUUUUUCGUAACUUCUUCUAUUAUAUAUUUUCCUAUAAAGACAUAAUCUUACGUCUACCUACAAUUUAUUAAACAAGAAAGAAAAAAAGGCAAAUACGUAGAUAUUGCAAAAUAUUUAUCUUCGAAUACGAGUCACUGUAUCAACAAUAUCGUUGUGGAAAUUUAAGACUGACGCAAUAAACACUACCUGGAGUGCUGCGUUGUCGCAACUUGUUUAGACGCAACGUAAACAGUUUGUUUCUCAAUCGAUCAGUGGCUUGACACGCGCAUCGCAAAUCGGUUUUUUGAAUUUCAAGUCAUUCCUCGUUGUCGUGGACCAAUUGCAAGCUGUAGUUCUCGGUGCUACGAACUUGCGUCAUUUCGUUUGCGUAAUUAGCAAAAAUUCUGAAGCACGAUACAUCCCAUUGACGCACAAUACGAUGAGAGAGGAAAACGAGUAACGAACGGUGUGAAAGACCAAACAGUUCCUGUUUCAAGGCUCAUGCUGUUUUUCAUCUACGAAAUGACAUAAUAGUUGGGGUCACAUUGGAAAAGGAAAAGGACAGAAACGGAAAUUACAUAUUCUUUCAAUAUGAAACCAACGUGUGAUGUGUAAACCUGCAUAAAGAAGCUUUCUCUUUAAUCUAUAAAAGGGUGCAUAUCGGCCAACAUGAUGAAUUGAAGAGAAAUUGUGUAGGUUGAAUAUUCGCAAGUAGGUCGAGAAGUUCAUUAGAAUUCUAUAAAGUACCAUUACAUUUUUUUCACGAAAGAGAACAGUAAUUUUCUACUUAUUUUAAUAUGAUCUCCUGAUAGUAUACCGAACGAUUCUAUAGAUAAUACUUUCUUAAUUUACUUUAAUUUAGUUUAAUUUAUUUGUCAGGAGAAGCACGAAUCUUUUUGGGUCAUUAACAAGACUACUGUAUUGCAUUACAUAGUUCAAUUAUAGAUGCAAAGAAAUUUUCUUGUGUUUCUAUUUUCCUUGAUUUUCAUAUAAUAGCUUUUAUCAGCUUUAACCUAAUACUUCUUAACCGAAAAAAUUAUCUUAAAAUCAUAAAUUACAAGGUCUGUUAUUCUAAAUAAAUUAAUUCUAUCUUGACCUAA